AUUGAACGCUGGCGGCAGGCCUAACACAUGCAAGUCGAACGGUAACAGGAAGAAGCUUGCUUCUUUGCUGACGAGUGGCGGACGGGUGAGUAAUGUCUGGGAAACUGCCUGAUGGAGAGGGAUAACUACUGGAAACGGUAGCUAAUACCGCAUAACUUCGCAAGACCAAAGAGGGGGACCUUCGGGCCUCUUGCCUUCGGAUGUGCCCAGAUGGGAUUAGCUAGUAGGUGGGGUAACGGCUCACCUAGGCGACGAUCCCUAGCUGGUCUGAGAGGAUGACCAGCCACACUGGAACUGAGACACGGUCCAGACUCCUACGGGAGGCAGCAGUGGGGAAUAUUGCACAAUGGGCGCAAGCCUGAUGCAGCCAUGCCGCGUGUAUGAAGAAGGCCUUCGGGUUGUAAAGUACUUUCAGCGGGGAGGAAGGGAGUAAAGUUAAUACCUUGGCUAAUUGACGUUACCCGCAGAAGAAGCACCGGCUAACUCCGUG
rnacentral:rRNA from 1 species